rnacentral:rRNA from 1 species
GAAGGCAGAUCACUAACAAUGUACUGACGCUCAUGGACGAAGGCGUGGGAGCGAACAGGANUAGAUACCCUGGUAGUCCACGCCGUAAACGAUGGAUACUAACUGUUCGACCUUUGGUUGAGUGGUUAAGCGAAAGUGAUAAGUAUCCCACCUGGGGAGUACGCUCGCAAGAGUGAUACUCAAAGGAAUUGACGGGGGCCCGCACAAGCGGUGGAGCAUGUGGUUUAAUUCGAUGAUACGCGAGGAACCUUACCAGGGCUUAAAUGUAGUGAGACAGGUAUAGAAAUAUACCCUUCUUCGGACUCAUUACAAGGUGCUGCAUGGUUGUCGUCAGCUCGUGCCGUGAGGUGUCAGGUUAAGUCCUAUAACGAGCGCAACCCCUAUCGUUAGUUGCCAGCGGGUCAUGCCGGGAACUCUAGCGAAACUGCCGGUGCAAACCGAGAGGAAGGUGGGGAUGACGUCAAAUCAUCACGGCCCUUACGUCCUGGGCUACACACGUGCUACAAUGGCCGGUACAGAGAGCAGCCACUACGCGAGUAGGAGCGAAUCUAUAAAACCGGUCUCAGUUCGGAUCGCAGUCUGCAACUCGACUGCGUGAAGCUGGAAUCGCUAGUAAUCGCAUAUCAGCCAUGAU